rnacentral:rRNA from 1 species
AUUGAACGCUGGCGGCAGGCCUAACACAUGCAAGUCGAACGGAAGAACGGAGCUUGCUCCUGGAUUCAGCGGCGGACGGGUGAGUAAUGCAUAGGAACCUGCCUGGUAGUGGGGGAUAACGUCCGGAAAGGGGCGCUAAUACCGCAUACGACCUGAGGGAGAAAGUGGGGGAUCUUCGGACCUCACGCUAUCGGAUGAGCCGAGGUCGGAUUAGCUAGUUGGUGGGGUAAAGGCCUACCAAGGCGACGAUCCGUAACUGGUCUGAGAGGACGACCAGCCACACUGGAACUGAGACACGGCCCAGACUCCUACGGGAGGCAGCAGUGGGGAAUAUUGGACAAUGGGCGAAAGCCUGAUCCAGCAAUGCCGCGUGUGUGAAGAAGGUCUUCGGAUUGUAAAGCACUUUAGGUGGGAAGGAAGAGCAGUAAGUUAAUACCUCGCUUUUUUGACGGUACCAACAGAAUAAGCACCGGCUAACUACGUG